GGCGUCAUAGCUCAGUUGGGAGAGCAGCAGACUGAAGUCGUAUCACCGUUGAUUGAACCCACACGUGCUUAUGUAAUCUGAAGGUCCCGUGUUCAAGCCACGGUGAUGCCA